rnacentral:sRNA from 1 species
GCUGUAAGUGGGGUGGGACAGAGAUGGCACCUGGGGGUUCUGAGGCACCUGCUCCUCUCUGAGACAGGGAUCAGGAGCCGGACUGGGACCAGACCACCAGCAACACACCAGAGGAUGUUCUCUAAAUAAGACCAUGGCACUUAAGAACAUUAACUACCUUCUCAUCUUCUACCUCAGUUUCUCACUGCUUAUCUACAUAAAAAAUUCCUUUUGCAAUAAAAACAACACCAGGUGCCUCUCAAAUUCUUGCCAAAACAAUUCUACAUGCAAAGAUUUUUCAAAAGACAAUGAUUGUUCUUGUUCAGACACAGCCAAUAAUUUGGACAAAGACUGUGACAACAUGAAAGACCCUUGCUUCUCCAAUCCCUGUCAAGGAAGUGCCACUUGUGUGAACACCCCAGGAGAAAGGAGCUUUCUGUGCAAAUGUCCUCCUGGGUACAGUGGGACAAUCUGUGAAACUACCAUUGGUUCCUGUGGCAAGAACUCCUGCCAACAUGGAGGUAUUUGCCAUCAGGACCCUAUUUAUCCUGUCUGCAUCUGCCCUGCUGGAUAUACUGGAAGAUUCUGUGAGAUAGAUCACGAUGAGUGUGCUUCCAGCCCUUGCCAAAAUGGGGCCGUGUGCCAGGAUGGAAUUGAUGGCUACUCCUGCUUCUGUGUCCCAGGAUAUCAAGGCAGACACUGCGACUUGGAAGUGGAUGAAUGUGCUUCAGAUCCCUGCAAGAACGAGGCUACAUGCCUCAAUGAAAUAGGAAGAUAUAUUUGUAUCUGUCCCCGCGAUUAUUCCGGUGUAAACUGUGAAUUGGAAAUUGACGAAUGUUGGUCCCAGCCUUGUUUAAAUGGUGCAACUUGUCAGGAUGCUCUGGGGGCCUAUUUCUGCGACUGUGCCCCUGGAUUCCUAGGGGAUCACUGUGAAUUCAACAUUGAUGAGUGUGCCAGUCAACCGUGUCUCCAUGGAGGGCUGUGUGUGGAUGGAGAAAACAGAUAUAGCUGUAACUGCACGGGUAGUGGAUUCACAGGGACACACUGUGAGACCUUGAUGCCUCUUUGUUGGUCAAAACCUUGUCACAAUAAUGCUACAUGUGAGGACAGUGUUGACAAUUACACUUGUCACUGCUGGCCUGGAUACACAGGUGCCCAGUGUGAGAUCGACAUCAAUGAAUGCAAUAGUAACCCCUGCCAGUCCAAUGGGGAAUGUGUGGAGCUGUCCUCAGAGAAACAAUAUGGACACAUCACUGGACUGCCUUCUUCUUUCAGCUACCAUGAAGCCUCAGGUUAUGUCUGUAUCUGUCAGCCUGGAUUCACAGGUGAGGCCAAGGAGAUGGGAUAUGACUUGACUUUCUGGUAUUUUACGGCAGACCAUGGACUCAACCAAAUGGUGUAUUAGCAGGAAGAGCUGUGCUGUGUAAACUCUGUUGCUGUGGUGCAAAGGGUCCCCCUUGUGGGCAUGAAAAGUAUCUUGUUUCACAUUUCAGAAUUUCUCAAAUCAAGAGAGAAAUAUUAAAAACAGGGAUGAAAGAGGUAUGAAAGGGGUGACAUUUUUAUAUGUUAUACUGGGAACUAGAGUGCAUCUCAAGUUCUUUACCUUAUACACAGAAAAUGUUGAAAUUUUUGUGCUAUCAAAUUUGAUAAUGAUGUUAAAUUUUAUGUUAUUCAAAUUUGCUAAAAUAGUUAUUGUACUUACAUUUACACUAGGAAAAAUGACCUAGUCUCAGGUAAUCUUCCUCAAUGAUUCUGUAGCUAAAGUCAUUCCAUAUAUCAAAUUUAAAUUACUCUUUUUUUUUUCACAACUUUCUUACCUAAAACCCAGAGGAAAUUUGCAUGUAUGUUAUCCAAUGAACAGUUUUGUAUUGUCUGCUUUCUGUUCUGAAAAUUUUCAGAAUUAUUGAGGCAUUCCCCAAUUCAUUAAUGGCUAGCAAUUUACCCACAAUUGCAUUGAUAUCACUGAGAAAACCAAUUACCAUCUAAAUUUCUAUCAUAUUUCUUUCUCAAUAGAUUAAGUGGUGCUUCUGGAAAAUAUUUCAGUUGUUGAGGAUUUCUGAGAAAAGUAAAUGAGAAAUAAAAAAAGAAGGGGGUGGCUAUUUACACUUAGGAUUCUCUUUCAAUGUUUCAGUUUUGAAGUUUAAUGAUCUUUGAUUUGUGGCAGUGUUUGCUGCAUGGUCGAUAAAAAAAAUGUUUAUUUCCUUAUUCACUGACCUUUCAAGGAGAACAUACAGGAAAAAAAUUCCCCAGGUGUCAAUAUCAGGAAAAUGGUAUUUUCCCUGAACAACUUCUAUCAUGCAUGCUUUCCACCCUAGUUUAAAAAAUGCAUCCAAAUAAAUCUUGAUGUGACUCAACUGAUUAAAUGCAUGAAAUAAAUAUUGUAAUAUAUCAUAUUUCCCAAUUAUGUAAGCUACUAGAAAUAAAUAUGAGAUCUGCAAAC